GUUGCUUAGGAUUCCAGAAGGUUAG
rnacentral:piRNA from 1 species